rnacentral:rRNA from 1 species
GUCUACAUUCACACCACCCGGAAUACACCCUAUCUCUUCGGAUUUCGUAAGCUAAGCAGGGUCGGGCCUGGUUAGUUUACUUGGAUGGGAGACAGUGAGGAAACCCAGCAAGACC